rnacentral:tmRNA from 1 species
GGGGACGUUCUGGAUUCGACAGGGGUAGGUCGUGCUUAAGUGGCGAGUCGAGCUGGGUGUCCUCGUAUAAAACGCCCAUCGCCUAUAGUUGGCAAACAAGAUAACGAUUUCGCUUUAGCAGCGGCGUAACAACCCUGUUAGCGGUUCCUCCCUACAUCGCCCAUGUGUUAGGAUCAGGGACUCACUCUAGUGGGAUACGCCUGGAGUUCUCCACCUGAGGACAAUAGGAAGAGAUUAAUCAGGUUAGCCUCACAGAAGCCUGUCUGUUGGCUGAAGUGACGGCGAAAUUCCAAUAAACUGACUACACUCGUAGAAGCUUAUGAUGCGUUACCCCUGGACGUGGGUUCGAUUCCCACCGUCUCCACCA